CCCUGCCUUCUUCUCCUCUCACGCGCAGCUUCCUUCUUCUCUGUUCAUGGCACACGGCAGCAGCCCACACCUUCUUCGUCCCUGCGCCCAGCCUUCCCCAAGCUCCAGCGCGCAGGGCAGCCGCGCCCCUUCUGCUCCAUGGCCGAGCUCCCUUGGAGCAGAUGCUCACCAGCCAUGGCGUGGGCUCCAUUUUUUCCAGGGCCACCGAGCUCCAUGUCCAUGGCGUGGAGCAGCAGCUCCCAUGCCCCGGCGACAUCCUCCUCGCCGUCGUCCAUGGCGCCCCUGCGAACCUCCCUGUCCAUGGCCGCCAAUCCUUGCGCCCUUCUCUGCGCAGCGCCCCUGUUCCCCUACUCCUUCUCCCUGGAACGCAGCGGCUCUGCUCACCCCCUCCCAUGGCGCCUCCACCUACCAGCUUCGCCUAGCAGCUAUGGCGCCCAAGCUCUCUGCUCCCUCCCUCUCCAAUGCAGCAGCACGUGAGCUCACCCCCUCACUCCUCUUCCCUGUCACGGCCAGGAAACACCGGAUCUCGCGCCCUCUCUCUGGUUUGGGUGGAGCAGCACCUCCCCUGCUAUCUCCUCCCCGACGCCCCUUCGAGAUGGCACCCAACAGCCCCGGCACCUUCCCUGCUUCGUCUCGCUGCCACCGCUGCGCGCGUGCCAAGUGUUCGGCAAAAUGUCGAGGGAGACGUGUUGUUGCAGCACUGUCGACGCUCACCGGUUGGUCGCUGUUUUGCGCAUCCCAUCCGCGACGCCGUCGAAAACCGUGCUAGUGGUCGACGUCGUGCCUUGCCCGUUCGACGAAAUACCGAGCCAUGUGGACAGCCAUGCGUCUAGUCACGACCCGUUCAGGACCGAGAGAUGCUGAUCGUGCAAGUGAUGUGGUGCCC